rnacentral:rRNA from 1 species
UACGAAGGGGGCUAGCGUUGCUCGGAAUCACUGGGCGUAAAGGGCGCGUAGGCGGACUCUUAAGUCGGGGGUGAAAGCCCAGGGCUCAACCCUGGAAUUGCCUUCGAUACUGGGAGUCUUGAGUUCGGAAGAGGUUGGUGGAACUGCGAGUGUAGAGGUGAAGUUCGUAGAUAUUCGCAAGAACACCAGUGGCGAAGGCGGCCAACUGGUCCGAAACUGACGCUGAGGCGCGAAAGCGUGGGGAGCAAACAGG